ensembl:lncRNA
AUGGCAUCCAUGCUCUCGUCUCUAUUCGCCCAGAGACAGGCACAACGGCACAGAUACCAUGCAACGGAGAGUAACAGGUGCGGGUGACGGAUUUUAAGAAACUGGCAACAUAGAAGCUGGUUUUAAAAUAGUCAUAAGAAGUUGGCUUUUUCAGACAAGUCAACCCCCACACCAGAGAAGAUACUGAAGCCUGUUGCCACAAACCCGUAGAUCCGAACUUGUGCUGACCAUGCACACAAGCUUGUGUCUAUAGGGUUGUAGAAACGGAAAGAGGGCUGAAGAGGAGGGAACGGAGCUCUUGGGCCACGAUGGAUAAGGUUAUUUAAGAGACGCACUCUCAUACUGCUUCUAACUGGUCUCAGCUGUCAGGUUAGGGGGCUGGGCUGCCCAUGAGGCAGCAAGAAUUCCAGGGAUUCAGACAGCUGACUGCUGACUGUGGAGUAAAUAGGCUCACACAAAACAAGGGUUUGUUUUGUUUUCUGGGAGCCUAAUUGUUCUCAAAGUUAUGAUGAUCUUUCCCAGAAAGUGAAAAGAUUGGCUGACGCUGCCGAUCGGGUUCUGGCUGCAAUGUGGGUUGCACCUUGUAGCUAUCCUGUCCCUCAUCAUUCAGCAAGUGCAGGCCACUGGGUCCUUAACAGACAGAGGGAGAUGGACAUGUCGGUCUGCCUGUUUAUACCGCUGUAACCACUAUUGUGCGUACAAUAAGAAAACAAACAAGAAAGAAGCAAGCCCGCGCACGCACACGUGCACACACACACACACACACACACACACACACACACACACACACACACACACCAAUAGAAAAAGAUAUUCUGUUUACAUCCAAAUUCACCUCUGCCCAGAGCAGUUUUUGAAGUCUUUAUCGUGUUUAAAGGGCUGGAAUGAAAAUAAUUUUAUCCCUUUCCUUCUUAAAUGUCACCAUUGUGCCAGGAUUGGAAAGCCAAGCUGACCACAGAUCAAAGCAAAACUGACUAUAUUUGUCUCCCUCCAACAAUGUGAGCUGAAGAGUCUGUAAACAGAAGGCAGGGUGAAAAAUUGAUGGAAUCUAGACGGCUCUGGGACUUUCACAUUCGCUUUUGGUCAAAGUAUUAUAUCAAGAAUUCCCUUAACUGUUUGUUUCUGGUGAAGGCUUUCAGCAGUAGCAGGAGUUAAUAUGAAAUCCUUGUGCAUACAUUUUUGUCACCUUAUAAGAGCCACACUCUUCAGAGACAGCUAGAAGUCUUUCUCCUGUAGGAUACGUGAAGAUGUAGCCCACGGAUGUAUAGGGGGCAGAACACGGAACAUGGGGAUCUAUAAAUGCUGUUCAUGGAGGGCACACUUUUUUUUUUUUGAGGGCACACUUUCUAUGUGUGCUUUUGCUUUUGCUUUUCAUGGAGGAGUGUUGUCUGUUGUCUCUAGGGCUCAACGUUUAACCUGUCAGGAAAGCUUUCUUAUGGAAUGAUGGCAUGUUAACAGAAGAGAAAGGCUGUCCUUACUGGUGGGAGUCCCAUAGAACUGUCUGCCCUGGGCUUUUUAUCCACCCACUCUGCAAACAGUCUAUGUGGCCUGAUUUACAUGCCUCUUGGAAGUGGCUGAAGUGAAUUAAACGGUCCACUUGUUAAGCCUGCACCUCUGCUGGCCGAAUGCUUGUUCGAUACAGGGAGCAACGUCAUGCUUGCACCCGUCAUCCCCUAGUAUGUUGCAGGUGUGCUCCGGACAGGGCAGGGGAGUUGGAGCCACUGGGACCUGAGUGCUCAGUGUUGCCUAUAUAGGAACAAUAACCAGCUG